CGAAUUAGACACUGGCUAGUGUUCUCAGGCCAUAACACAAGGUUGGGGGGCCAGUACGAGCGAAGGAUAGAAGAGGCACAGCAGAGGCAAAUAGGGUUGUCCUCGUUCGGUGAACGGAGGGGCGGAGACGACGAGGAGUUAGGUAUGGUCUGGGAAAACAUGAACACAGUGAAUUGAGAGAAGGGAGGAAGUAAAAGAAGCAUACAAGGGAGAACAUCGGUGGGAAUAAGCUGAAUGCCUGCGUCAUAAACGUGCGCAAGACCAAGUGGGGGAUGCACUAUACGGUUGGACCGGGCGAGAUGAAGAAAAGUCAACGCGACUGGCCAGGAUGGUGCGCAGGACAAAGAAUAUAGAGAACAUAUAACGGAGCAGGAAUAAGUAGCUUGGGAAAAUUAACGGAACGUCGACACGGGGAAUGUAAGGCGUAGUAAAACAAAAAGGUUACACCUAGCUCGUGUGGUCUGAGGACGAUGACAACAAUACACAGCAAACUGUGAGAGAGCAGUAGAGGUAGGGAGGAACGGAAAAAAAGGCGAAAACUGAGUCACAGGACUCACUGACACAGGUGGAAUGUACACGGGGAUGGGAAGUAAAAUAAUUCAACAGAGUGGGCCUCGAGCGCAUAUAAGUUCAACAAAGCAGGGUUGCGAGACGUUUGUUAAUGUUGGGGCGCAUGUAAAAGACGUCAGGGUAUAUGUUUACAAAUCAAACAUAUAUACAGCCGUGGUUAUUAAGGCUGAUAUAAGAAAAAGUAUGAAGAUAACGCAAGCUGGGGGCAAAUCGAAAGGUAUGUGACAGGAUGAUACAACAGAACAGAAAUAAAGUGCACAGCAUGAAAAGACGGCGAACAGGGAGAUCCGUGGAUAGGGACAACAGAUAAACAAGCCAUCUGUGUACAAGGGAGGGUGACGGUAGAUAAUACAGAGACUUGUGAAAGUGGACUGGGAAUAUAACGGAAAAAAGACAAGUGGGGGGGGACGGACAACGGGAAGAACUGAAAAAAGAAAAAAGAAAGGAUAAAGGAAGGCGGGAAAAGGAGGAGGGGGAACAGAUGCAAUCACUAUCAAGUGCGUGAUGUAGGGGAAAAUACCGCACACGGGCUCUGAGCCAUAGGGGAAAACUAGUGCUGGUUCGACAGAACAUGGCAGCUAAGUCUUGUAGAGGGGGUAGAAUUCCAGGUGUACGGUGAAUGCGUAGGAGUCUGGAUGAUCCGGUGGCGAAGGCGUCCCCCUGGAAAAAGAACUGACGCUCAGUGCGAAGCGUGGGGGCAAACAGAUUAGAUACCCCUGUAUCCACGCCUGAACGAUGUCCGAUUUGGAGGUUGUGCCCUGGAGGCUUGCUUCCGGAUCUAACGCGUUAACAUCGACCGCCUGGGGAGUCGGCCGCAAGGUUAAAACUCAAAGAAUGCGGGGGCCCGCCAAGCGGUGAGCAUGUGUUUUAAUUCGUUCAACGCGAAGACCUUACCUGGUCCUUGACAUCCACAGAACUUCCAGCGAUGGAUUGGGGCCUUCAGGGAACUGUGAGCGGUGGCGCCUGGAUGUCGUCAGCUCGGUGUUGUGAAUGUUGGGUUAAGUCCCGCAACGAGCGCAACCCUUAUCCUUUGUUGCCAGCGGUUAGGCCGGGAACUCAAAGGAGACUGCCAGUGAUAAACUGGAGGAAGGUGGGGAUGACGUCAAGUCAUCAUGGCCCUUACGACCAGGGCUACACACGUGCUACAAUGGAAAAACAAAAACGGAAAAAAAAAUAAAAAAAACAAUGAAAAAAACAUAUACAAAGAGAAGCGACCUCGCGAGAGCAAGCGGACCUCAUAAAGUAUGUCGUAGUCCGGAUUGGAGUCUGCAACUCGACUCCAUGAAGUCGGAAUCGCUAGUAAUCGUAGAUCAGAAUGCUACGGUGAAUACGUUCCCGGGCCUUGUACACACCGCCCGUCACACCAUGGGAGUGGGUUGCAAAAGAAGUAGGUAGCUUAACCUUCGGGAGGGCGCUUACCACUUUGUGUUCAUGACUGGGUGAAGUCGUAACAAGGUAACCGUAGGGGAACCUGCGGUUGGAUCACCU
rnacentral:rRNA from 1 species